rfam:Ovis aries breed Texel chromosome 5, whole genome shotgun sequence.
UCCCUGCUGGCUCAGAGGGUUAAAGCAUCUGCCUGCAGUACGGGAGACCUGGGUUCAAACCCUGGGUUGGGAA